GACGAACGCUGGCGGCGUGCUUAACACAUGCAAGUCGAACGAAGAGCGAUGGACGCUUGCUUCUAUCAAUCUUAGUGGCGAACGGGUGAGUAACGCGUAAUCAACCUGCCCUUCAGAGGGGGACAACAGUUGGAAACGACUGCUAAUACCGCAUACGAUCUAAUCUCGGCAUCGAGGAUAGAUGAAAGGUGGCCUCUACAUGUAAGCUAUCACUGAAGGAGGGGAUUGCGUCUGAUUAGCUAGUUGGAGGGGUAACGGCCCACCAAGGCGAUGAUCAGUAGCCGGUCUGAGAGGAUGAACGGCCACAUUGGGACUGAGACACGGCCCAGACUCCUACGGGAGGCAGCAGUGGGGAAUCUUCCGCAAUGGACGAAAGUCUGACGGAGCAACGCCGCGUGAGUGAUGACGGCCUUCGGGUUGGAAAGCUCUGUUAAUCGGGACGAAAGGCCUUCUUGCGAAUAGUGAGAAGGAUUGACGGUACCGGAAUAGAAAGCCACGGCUAACUACGUG
rnacentral:rRNA from 1 species